UACGAAGGGGGCUAGCGUUGUUCGGAUUUACUGGGCGUAAAGCGCGCGUAGGCGGACAUCUAAGUCAGGGGUGAAAUCCCAAGGCUCAACCUUGGAACUGCCUUUGAUACUGGAUGUCUGGAGAUCGGGAGAGGUGAGUGGAAUUCCGAGUGUAGAGGUGAAAUUCGUAGAUAUUCGGAGGAACACCAGAAGCGAAGGCGGCUCACUGGCCCGAUACUGACGCUGAGGCGCGAAAGCGUGGGGAGCAAACAGG
rnacentral:rRNA from 1 species